UGUCAUUGCCUGGAGCGGCUGCAGUGAUGCUGGCCUAAUUACCGGGAAUGGAAAAGAAGCAGAUCGUAAAGGUUGUAAAGUGACUUUUUUUUAAAGAUUAAAAGGGAUGCUCCUACCAUUAGGCAGAAUGAGACAGUUGCCUCAGGUAGCUGUUUCUGGGUGUCAAAAAGGAUAGCAAAUUGCUAUCUGUAAUAUUAUUGUUAAGGGAUGCGGGUGGCGCUGUGGGUAAAACCUCAGCGCCUAGGACUUGCUGAUUGCAUGGUCGGCGGUUCGAAUCCCCGUGGCGGAGUGCGCUCCCGUCGUUCAGUCCCAGCGCCUGCCAACCUAGCAGUUCAAAAGCACCCCCGGGUGCAAGUAGAUAAAUAGGGACCGCUUACCAGCGGGAAGGUAAACGGCGUUCCGUGUGCUGUGCUGGCUCUCCAGAUGCAGCUUGUCACGCUGGCCACGUGACCCGGAAGUGUCUGCGGACAGCGCUGGCUCCCGGCCUAUAGAGUGAGAUGAGCGCACAACCCUAGAGUCUGUCAAGACUGGCCCGUACGGGCAGGGGUACCUUUACCUUUAAUAUUAUUGUUACAGACACUUUUCUGCCUCGGGUGCCAAAAUUACUUGACCAGCUUUGGAUACUGCACCUUGACUUGAGGUAGGUGGGCUUCAUUGCUUGAUGUGCCACAGGCAACAAAUUGUCUUGUGCCAACUCUGUUGUCUUUAUUUACUUAUGUGCUACAAACUGGCCUUCUCUGAAUAUGGUAAGCUACUGAAAUAUAUACAAUUUAAGUUCUAUAAUCCACAAUUUGCAUUGGCAGCCAGUCAGCAAUCAGGCUACAUUCAAAGUAUUGGGCUUGGUGUACAAAACUAUACAACUUGAGACCAGAAUACCUGAAAGAUGCUCUCAUCCCUUAUACACUCAACUGAUACUCAACUUGAGGGCAGUGGGAUAGCUCAGUUGGUAAGAGCAUGAGACUCAUAAUCUCAGGGUUGUGGGUCUGAGUCCCAUGUUGGGCAAAAGAUUCCUGUAUUGCAAGGGCUUGAACAAGAUGUCCUUCAUGGUCCCUUCCAACUCUGCAGGAUAGAGCAUCUUCCAGAUACCAUCUUAUUAAGAGGUCCAUUCCACACAAUAUGGAAUAUACACAGUAUGGAAAUCUGGCAUCUACUCCUUGGAACUCUUCCAUUACAUAGCAGACUGGUGGUGUGGUGAGUGGUUUGGGCAAGGCAGCAGCACUGUGAAUAUGUCCCAGUGAGCAGCUUAACAGAGGUGAACCAAAGCCUUCUGCCCCCAGGCCAUCUCUUGGACUAGUGUGGUAGGAUGGGUGGUACUCGGUUUCUUCGGCCAGAGGAAAGUGACUGAGAGUCCUGGCUUUUUUGUUUUGUUUGUUUAAUAUUUUUGAACAAUCCUUCAGUGGAGUUUAAUGUAUCUGCUAUGUUUUAUAAAUGCUGUUAGCCACUUUGAGGACUCAAGUAAAAAAGCAGGCUAUAACUCUCCUAAACAAACAAACAACCUUUUAAAAUGACUUUCCAUUUUAAAGUAAUCUUUCCAUUUUCAAUUUCAUAUUAUUGAUAGGAGUGAUGCUCUGGAAACAAAGUUCUUGGUGCUACUUCUAAAAAUGCCCUUGGUAUACAUUGUGGAAACCCUGAUUUAAAAUCUAAAUUUGCCUGUACAUCUUGACACCUGUAAUCGUCACAAGUAAGUGAGAAAAUAUUGAUUGCAAUUAUACUGUGUGUUAGCAAAGCAUCCAGACACUAACAAAAACAUUAAAAGUAAAUACCUAUCAGCCUUCCUAUAUAGACAGAAAAUGUUUAGCCAGAGAUGCAAUAUAUUCAUUUUUAAUUUUAAGGACUCUUUUAUAAUUUUACAGCCUGUAGUACCCAGGUUAUGAAGACAGUUUCCAAUUCAAAUAAUGGAAAUCACAGCUUUAAAAUGCAGACAUAUGAGAAGGGAGCUUUCAGCUGUCAUGACUUCAGCAACGGCUUUGACAUAUAUUUGAUAAGAUCUGCUAUGGAGGGUGCUGAAACAAAGCUAGCUGUUAGAUCUUCCUCCCAUUGGAUGAAAGAGAUGGGUAAAAAGAGUUUAAAACAUUAUUCAAAUCUCAUAGGACUAGUAUGGGGCCUGUCAGAUACCAUUUGGAGUGAAAUUGACAAAGGAACUCCACCAAGAAAAAGACACAGAUUCCACUUUCAAGAUUUAUAGUUUCUUAAAUUUAUAUGCUUCCCAGACACAUAAAAUGCACUGAGUUGUUAACAUAAUCAUAAUAAGAUUACAACUGAACACAACAGCUAAAAUACAAUGGCAACCGACAUAUUUAACAUUGUUAAAUGUUAUUUACCAUUGUUAAAUAUGAGAUCUCUAAAAACCUAACAGUGCAAUCCUUUCUUCGAGUUACACUUACUAGAAGAGAACAGGAUCGUGGUAAAAAAAAAUUCUUGCUGGGUGCAACACAAAGAUAUAAUGGGGUUGUAGAUGUAGACUGCUGUUGCAAUUCUUUUGUGUAGGCAUUACAUCAUGCCAGCGUGACUGUAAACUCCACUGUUACAUUAGUGGUUCAACAGGAAAAUCUGAAGAUGGCUGGGGCUUGGUGGGGAAGGAACAAGCCUGGCUUUAAACCCUAGGCUUAUUUAGAGGUUGAUCCCAUGCAUUCCUCUCCACCUGGCAUCAUGUUACACCUUCAAACGCCCUUGAAGUUAGCAGAGAUCCCAAGACAUCUGUACUGUCACCUCCUCCUUCCCAUCCCCACAGUCACAAUGCAAAGGAAGAUGUUCUUAAUUCUUCCUUGGAAUCACCUACUUUAAUUCAAGCCUGCAAUGCAAAGAAUCUCAAGCUGCAUUCACAAAGGAAAAAAUAUUCCUUUGUGACUGACAGGUCCGUAGCACCACCGACCUAUCAAAAUGGCUCUUGUGGGUGGGAUGGACAGAUUCUGUUCCCCAUCUUUGGCCUAUUGGAAGUUUACAAGCAAGUCAUGCCCAGCCUAUCACCACCUCCUCACUCCUCACAAAGCAGAGAAUGGUCCAGCAGCUCAGAAUUUCUUGAACGAGUAACAUGCCAGUGGCUGUAGUGUCUGCAUCCAGGCCUUUGAUUGCUGAUUGCCCCAAAAGGUGAAGAUGCAGGGGGCUUUGGGUAGCUGCUGUGCAUUCACUGAAUCAAUAUGAAUUAUAGGGGAAUGUUUACACUUAAGAGGCAGGGAUGGUGAGGCUUCGCCUGCUGCCUUUGUUCACAAGUACAGUGGUACCUCAGGUUAAGAACUUAAUUCAUUCCGGAGGUCCAUUCUUAACCUGAAACUGUUCUUAACCUGAGGUACCACUUUAGCUAAUGGGGCCUCCCGCUGCCGCCGCGCGAUUUCUGUUCUCAUCCUGAAGCAAAGUUCUUAACCUGAGGUACUAUUUCUGGUUUAGCGGAGUCUGUAACCUGAAGCAUCUGUAACCCGAGGUACCACUGUAAUCUAUUGGCAAAUACAGUUGCCUACUUCUGCUUAACAAUUUCUUCAGUGUCAUUAUAGUUACAGGAAAAAAAAUUUUUUUACACCUACAGCUUUGGCUUUCUCUCUUUCUCUCCUCCACCCCACCCCCUUGCUCUUACAUUAGAUUCAAUGUGAGAUAGGCAGCAAGUAAUAAAGAGGUGGAUCAUCCGGGUUACUUUUUAAGCUCAUAAGCAUAAUGCAUUAUAGCAUAAUACAAAUUAUGUAAGAGCUCACUCUUCACAAAAUGUGGAGGAAAACAGCAUAGAAAAUGAGGAGGAAGGCCCCCCAAACUCCAAUGCAAUUAAUGAAAAAGCACUGUGAUUAUUAUUAUUUCAAAAAUGUGUUUUAGAGCACUUAGCUAAUCAGCAGCUUAAACUGAACAAGUCGGUCAGAACAAUGCAGCUCUCCAUUACUUAAUUCCAUCAUAGUCUUACUACACUAGAACAACAUACUGUAAAUGUGACAGUUCUGGUGGUCCUUGGGACACUGAACAAGUGCUGAUCCCUGGAACUGUUGCUCUGUCCCAGAAUGUCUUCUCACAUCCCACCUGGUUUUACAAAUCAAAAUUGCAGCUGUAAAAACCUGCAGUCAUUCAGUCGGCAUAGAGGCUGUAAAUAUGGGUGCUCAGUCAGCAUCCCACCACAGGCAGUACCUUGGAUAAAUGUUCAAUUUGUCCUACAGGUGAGCUUGCAAUAUUAAGCUGCAGGUAAGGCAGAUUCCCUAUAGCCAUGGCAUGGUAGAAAGCAAAGGCUUCCAACUUUUGGGGGGCACAAAACUAUUUAAAAAAAAUAAUUGUGAGGGAUAGGCAGUCUUGGUAGAUGCCGAGGGCAGUGUCUGAGAGUGUAAUGGUGCCCAUAGGUUCCAUGUUGCGGGUCCCAGGCGCAAAAUAAAAAGUACAAAAUUGUACUGUCCUAUUGGGCAUCUCUGGGCAGUUGCAUUUCUACUGCUGUCAUCUUCCUUAUACAAGUAGACACAGCCACAAAGUAUAUAGAACUCAAAAGCUAUUCAGCAUUAGGUAUUGCAGCACACUCUAAAUACCUCAGUUCAUACCACUGAUCACAUUCAAGAGCUGUCCUGUAAGCAGUAAGCCUUACUAUAUUUAAGCAAGGCAGUUUUUUCUCCUGGCAGCUCAGACUCAGCAUUUUUCUGGAACAGGCACGAAGAAGGGAAAAUCUUUCUUUUUUUUUCCAUUCCAGAUUUCCCCCACAUUUCUACGUAAGUAAAUAAUGAGGUAAAAGGGUCUACAUAAUGAAAUCUGCUUCCCUGUCUACACUUACCUCCUUCAGAGACUCUGGAUGGCUCCUUUCUUCACACAAAGACUGCAGUUCAUUGGCACCCAGGUUCUUCCAGUUCCUCCUCCUCCUCCUGGAGUUUUCUGGACUCCACCUUGCCUCUCUGCCUUUUCUGAAUUCAGCAUCAAUUUAUUUGCCCACAUCCAGCCCAUCACCACUUCCAAACACUUAGUUGGAGUUAAGAAAGUGUUGGUGAACUGCACUGAAAAGGGUAGGAUGCGCAAGUGGGACAUAUAAAUCAGGAUGAAUUUGGGAUAAAUGUGCAUUGCUGUAUAUCUGGCAAGCAAAUCAGGAUGAAUGCUCAAUAAGCAGGUCAUCUGGAGGAGUCCCAAGUUUUCAUUAAUAAAUUUAAAGCAUACUGGGCACCUAGAAGAAAUUUUAUCCAAGGACAGACACAAGUUUGUCAUUAGAAUUUUGCAUCUUAUCCAACAUGUGAGACAGAG
rnacentral:lncRNA from 1 species